GCUGGAUUAGCUCAGUUGGCAGAGCGCGUGAUUUGUAAUCUCGAGGUCAAGGGUUCGAGUCCCUUAUCUAGCUCCA
rnacentral:tRNA from 1 species